rnacentral:rRNA from 1 species
AACGAGACGGGAUGGAAUGACCCUUCGGGGGAAUGAAAUCCUAGAAAGUGGCGAACGGGUGAGUAACGCGUGGGUAACCUGCCCUAUGGAAAGGAAUAGCCUCGGGAAACUGGGAGUAAUGCCUUAUAAUAUACGAGAGUCGCAUGGCUUUUGUAUUAAACGCUCCGGUGCCAUAGGAUGGACCCGCGUCCCAUUAGCUAGUUGGUGAGAUAACAGCCCACCAAGGCAACGAUGGGUAACCGGUCUGAGAGGGCGAACGGUCACACUGGAACUGAGACACGGUCCAGACUCCUACGGGAGGCAGCAGUGGGGAAUAUUGCGCAAUGGGGGCAACCCUGACGCAGCAAUACCGCGUGAGUGAAGAAGGUUUUCGGAUCGUAAAGCUCUGUUAUUGGGGAAGAAAAAAGACGGUACCCAAGAAGAAAGUCCCGGCUAACUACGUGCCAGCAGCCGCGGUAAUACGUAGGGGACAAGCGUUGUCCGGAUUUACUGGGCGUAAAGGGCACGCAGGCGGUUUUUUAAGUCAGAUGUGAAAGGUACCGGCUCAACCGGUGACAUGCAUUUGAAACUGAAAGACUUGAGUAUUGGAGAGGCAAGUGGAAUUCCUAGUGUAGCGGUGAAAUGCGUAGAUAUUAGGAGGAACACCGGUGGCGAAGGCGGCUUGCUGGACAAAUACUGACGCUGAGGUGCGAAAGCGUG